rnacentral:rRNA from 1 species
CCUACGGGAGGCAGCAGUGGGGAAUUUUGGACAAUGGGCGCAAGCCUGAUCCAGCCAUUCCGCGUGAGUGAAGAAGGCCUUCGGGUUGUAAAGCUCUUUCGCAAGGGAAGAAAGAUUACAUUCUAAUAUAAUGUGAUUAUGACGGUACCUUGAUAAGAAGCACCGGCUAACUACGUGCCAGCAGCCGCGGUAAUACGUAGGGUGCGAGCGUUAAUCGGAAUUACUGGGCGUAAAGCGUGCGCAGGCUGUUUUGUAAGUCAGAUGUGAAAUCCCCGAGCUCAACUUGGGAACUGCGUUUAGAAACUACAAGACUAGAAUAGGUCAGAGGGGGGUAGAAUUCCACGUGUAGCAGUGAAAUGCGUAGAGAUGUGGAGGAAUAUCAAUGGCGAAGGCAGCCCCCUGGGAUCAUAUUGACGCUCAUGCACGAAAGCGUGGGGAGCAAACAGGAUUAGAUACCCUGGUAGUCCACGCCCUAAACGAUGUCAACUAGUUGUUGGUAGAGUAAAAUCUAUGAGUAACGCAGCUAACGCGUGAAGUUGAACCGCCGUGGGGAGUUACGGUAGUUGCGAAGAGUUAACGUUACGAAGAAGUUAGACGGCGNGAGACGNGCGACGGACGACGACGAGGGAGGAGG